AUUGAACGCUGGCGGAAUGCUUUACACAUGCAAGUCGAACGGCAGCACGGACUUCGGUCUGGUGGCGAGUGGCGAACGGGUGAGUAAUGUAUGGGAACGUGCCCAGUCGUGGGGGAUAACGUAGUGAAAAUUACGCUAAUACCGCAUACGAUCUAUGGAUGAGAGCGGGGGAUCGCAAGACCUCGCGCGAUUGGAGCGGCCGAUAGCAGAUUAGGUAGUUGGUGGGGCAGAGGCCCACCAAGCCAACGGCCUGUAGCUGGUCUGAGAGGACGACCAGCCACACUGGAACUGAGACACGGUCCAGACUCCUACGGGAGGCAGCAGUGGGGAAUAGUGGACAAUGGGGGGAACCCUGAUCCAGCCAUGCCGCGUGUGUGAAGAAGGCCUUAUGGUUGUAAAGCACUUUAAGCGAGGAGGAGGCUCUUUUGGUUAAUACCCAAGAUGAGUGGACGUUACUCGCAGAAUAAGCACCGGCUAACUCUGUGCCAGCCGCCGCGGUAA
rnacentral:rRNA from 1 species